CCAGCCGGCGAGCCCCGGCGUGCGCGGGCCGGGCGCACGGAGCGGGAAAUGCGGCCGCAUCCCGGAGGUGCGGGCCGGGGACCUCCGCCCUCCCCGGCGGAAGCCCGAGGGGGUCUCGGUGUCCUCAAGCGGCAGCUGAGGCCAACCUCUGCGCGCAGGACCGCGAAGCCGGGCAGCCGCGUCGGCUCCUGCGGGGUGUUGUCUUUCGUUAGUUACUCCCGAGCUUUCCCGCUUCCCAGCCCGGUGAAUACCGCCUGCCCUUCUCAGAAGAGCAGCCUGACGGUGGCUCCGGCACGCGCUGCAGUCCUGCGUUUGCGCCGCUAGGAGGAGAGCCCCUCGGGUUUGGGCCCGAGCGAAGCUUGGCCGCGUUUGCAGCCCUCGAGGGAAACUGCCCAGUCCUGAGGGCCAGGCGAAAAGCCUCCAGCUUAUGAUGCCGGGAACGGACCGCCUGGGUUUCCACCCCCCUGCCCCCCGCUUCUCAAUUCUGUAAAUAUUUAUUCUGCAUGUGUUCCAGACCUGGCCGUCGUCCUCCCAGAACUCACAGCCCCCGGAGCAAACAGCAGUGACCUGAAGAUUCCAGGAUUCACCAAAUCCAUUCAGACUUCACAACAGUGUGACCACGUCUCUCAGCCUUUGAUAUGACUCUGGACAGCCAAAACUAGACAUGUCUCUUCUGGUAGCAGUAGAUACUCUUCCUUGAUUUCAAGUUCCUUACUGAUUCCCUUCUUUCUCUCUCAGUCCCUCCCUGAGCUCCUCAGUCCGAGGACCGGAAGGGUAUGUGUAGAACAGACAUUCAACACCCUUCGGGUAAAGAGGGUUGUCGUUGAUGAUUUUAGUUCUGCUCACAUUUGGUAAUUCAGAAACCUUUCUAAUCCACAGAAUAGUGCUUUUGUCACAGAAUUUUAAACGAAUGAACUAAGUUAUGAACUAAAUUACAAUUAUGAAACGUAGAUGUCCUAAACUUUAAUACAUUUGCUUUUUAUAUGCUGA